CCUACGGGGAGCAGCAGUGGGGAAUAUUGCACAAUGGGGGAAACCCUGAUGCAGCGACGCCGCGUGAGUGAAGAAGUAAUUCGGUAUGUAAAGCUCUAUCAGCAGGGAAGAAAAUGACGGUACCUGAGUAAGAAGCCCCGGCUAACUACGUGCCAGCAGCCGCGGUAAUACGUAGGGGGCAAGCGUUAUCCGGAUUUACUGGGUGUAAAGGGAGCGUAGACGGUAGUGCAAGUCUGGAGUGAAAGGCGGGGGCUCAACCCCCGGACUGCUCUGGAAACUGUACGGCUGGAGUGCAGGAGAGGUAAGUGGAAUUCCUAGUGUAGCGGUGAAAUGCGUAGAUAUUAGGAGGAACACCAGUGGCGAAGGCGGCUUACUGGACUGUAACUGACGUUGAGGCUCGAAAGCGUGGGGAGCAAACAGGAUUAGAUACCCCUGUAGUC
rnacentral:rRNA from 1 species